ACAGAUCUCGAGAUCUAGUGCUUCUUUGCUUCUUCGGCUCCUGCCAGAAAGGAAUCUCUUUACCCUUGCUCUUCUUCCAAGGAAUGUAUAAAAGGCACUAUCUCGACAUACAUUGCUUCUUUGCUCCUUCAGCUGCUACAAGAAAGGAACAUGGUAACAUGUUUUAUAAAGCAUUUGCAGAAGCAAUAUGCGGCUUCACACGCCAUAACAAGUUAGAAAACACAACUUGAUCAGGCAUUUGGCUGAAAGUAAUCCAAGCAUCCAUCUAUUCCAUUCUAAGGAAGGAACGGUGGACAUCAGUGCUGAAGAAAUAUCGACUUGUAGCGACGGAUCAAACGAAUCUGAAAUUUAUUUAUAUACGCGGCUUCUUAGGACAUGCAAGAGGCUAAGAGUGGCACCAUAUCAGCUUGCUGAAGCAAGCUCAUUAAUAAUUAUCCAAGGACCCAAGUAUCCAACCAGCCACGAACAAGCAGGCAAUGAUUACUCUUCCUGAGUUUCAAUUAUGCUUGUGAAGUAUUUCUGAGACAUAACAUUAUUUCCCCUUGCAGUUUGUUUUCCAUAAGCAUAGAUCAGUUACUGUAGAUGUAGUAAGCUCCAUUUGGCAUUGAGAAAUACAUUUUUGUAAGCAGGAGCUCUGUUGAAAAUACCUGGUUUUAUGCUUAGAAGUCUCUUAAAAUACGCACAAUGUGGUACGUACAUGAGUUGCGCAACAUUCUAGUGGAACUCAUAGCCCGGUUAUUUGGUUACCUGAAGUAGAACUCAUAGCCCGGUUAUUUGGUUACCUGAAGCUCAAAUUGUAUUGAACGCCAAGUGCUCUA